rnacentral:rRNA from 1 species
GUAGUCUCGCACAGAUGCAUAUCAAUAAGCGGAGGAAAAGAAACUAACAAGGAUUCCCCUAGUAACGGCGAGUGAAGCGGGAAGAGCUCAAAUUUGAAAUCUUAAAGGGUUUCCCUUCACGAAUUGUAGUUUAAAGAAGUGUUUUCUGUUGAGGUUUUGGUAAAAGUUCUUUGGAAUAGGACAUCAUAGAGGGUGAGAAUCCCGUAUUUGACCUUUACUUUCAACUUUGUGAUACACUUUCAAAGAGUCGGAUUGUUUGGGAAUGCAGUCCAAAAUGGGUGGUAAAUUUCAUCUAAAGCUAAAUAUUGGCGAGAGACCGAUAGCGAACAAGUACCGUGAGGGAAAGAUGAAAAGAACUUUGAAAAGAGAGUUAAACAGUACGUGAAAUUGUCAAAAGGGAAGCGUUUGACACCAGUGUUGUUUUUCUGAAAAUCAAUUAAAGAACUGUUUAUGCUAAGCUGUUUAGACUUUAUCAGCUAUCUGUUUAGUUUUGAGCUUUUCUUUAAUGCACUUUUCAGUUAACAAGUCAACAUCAAUUUCUUUUGCUGUAAAAAAGCUUGAGGAAGGUGGCUUGAGAUUCGUCUUAAGUGUUUAUAGCCUCUUGCCUAUGCAGUCGGAGAGAUUGAGGUCUGCAGCGUAGAUCCUUCGGGGCUAAAUGCAUUUGUGCUAAGUUAUAGCAUUUUAUAGACAACUUGUUGACUAUGAUUUGUCUUGUAGCUUACUCGCUUAUGUUAUUUUACCUACGCUUAGGAUGUUGAUCUGUAGUGCGUGCGC